rnacentral:rRNA from 1 species
AUUGAACGCUGGCGGCAGGCCUAACACAUGCAAGUCGAGCGGAUGAAGGGAGCUUGCUCCUGGAUUCAGCGGCGGACGGGUGAGUAAUGCCUAGGAAUCUGCCUGGUCGUGGGGGAUAACGUCCGGAAACGGGCGCUAAUACCGCAUACGUCCUGAGGUAGAAAGGGGGGGAUCUUCGGACCUCACGCUAUCAGAUGAGCCUAGGUCGGAUUAGCUAGUUGGUGGGGUAAAGGCCUACCAAGGCGACGAUCCGUAACUGGUCUGAGAGGAUGAUCAGUCACACUGGAACUGAGACACGGUCCAGACUCCUACGGGAGGCAGCAGUGGGGAAUAUUGGACAAUGGGCGAAAGCCUGAUCCAGCCAUGCCGCGUGUGUGAAGAAGGUCUUCGGAUUGUAAAGCACUUUAAGUUGGGAGGAAGGGCAGUAAGUUAAUACCUUGCUGUUUUGACGUUACCAACAGAAUAAGCACCGGCUAACUUCGUG